AACCUGCACUUGCAUCCAAACCCACCUGUGAGUCCUUUUUACAGGAGUAAAAAUAAUAAAGGCUACUCGAAUAUUUACGCCUGCUUUCACCCUGUUCUUCAAUGGUCAGGACCCCCACAGGACCCCCACAGGACCACCACAGAUCAUAUCCAAUUACCCGGUUGUAUUUCACCUCUACUGCUGCAGACCUCC